rnacentral:lncRNA from 1 species
CACGCUGCAUCACAGUAGACCUUCAGCUGCUGGGCAGAGUCCCAGCGGACAGUGACCUCGGGCUCGUCUAGUUUUGACUGUGUUGAGAAUGAAGCAGAGACCACAGCCGGAAAGAAACCGAAUUCCGGCUGAUGACACAGGCUCGGACUGCCAGCCUGCUGUAGCCUCUGAUUCCCGGCCAGGGACCCAAACAUGUCGCAUCCUGGGGACAAGAACUGCUACUCUGCUGUCCCCACAGCCCACCAGGAUCUUAAACUCCGCCCCGACCUGCCCACUGCCAAGGGGAUGUCCCAGCCAGAGUGACUUAGUUCUCAGCCAUUGCAGGAUGGAAAUCGGGUGCUCAUGAACAUCCCCAUUGUCUGCCUGCUUCUUCGGGCCUUCCAAGGGUCCUAGAAGGCUGCUUGAGAGAAGAAGCGUUUCAGCGUCUUCCAAAUGCCAGAUGUUUUUGCUGUUGCUGUGACAAAAUACUUGAGAUCAUCAACUCAGCAUGAGAAAAGGGUUCAUUCAGGCUCAUGGUUUCAGAGGUUUCAGUCCAUUGCUGGCUGGCUCCAUUGCUUUGAGGCCUGUUUGGAGGCAGAGCAUCAUGUUGGAAGCACGGAACAGCAGGAAGCUGAGAGAGAGAACCAAACCCCUCCAGGGCACCUCCCCAAAGACCUGCUUCUUCCAACCCAGCCCCUCCUGAAGUUCCCACCCCUGCCUCCCAGUAGCCCCUGAGACUGCGUGCGUGUGUCAGAGGACUGAUUCGCUGACUGUCAGAAGCCUCUCAUCCCACCCCUCCCAAAGCCACUUUUGGGGAAACAUUUAGGAUCCAUGCUGAAACACAGGCUGAACAGGAGGGGAGGGCAUUGGCCCUGAGGCCUGGGGCUGAGGGAGGGGUCAGGUUGUGUGUGUCACCAAGUGCAAGCUAGGACCCGCACUGCGUGAAUGCCGUGAAUGCCGUUGGCCCCUGGGAAUCAGCAGACAGCCGCUUCCGGUUCACAGGUUAUUUCUCAGGCCCUCAGCUCUUCCCUCGGCCAAGAUACCAGAGAUUCUAACUCCCACCUGUCCUACAAGCAGCGAGGAAGAAGGAAAGGCAAAUGACCCCCUGCCACCACGAGAAGAGCAAAGAGGGUGCAGCAUGCGUCCCUGCAGGCAGGAGGCUGGACUCUGGAAACCUCACCCAGAGGACACAGAAACACUUUUUGAAAUGCAGAAAUUUGCUGCGACACAGAUUGGGGGUGAUCUAGCUGUUCAGCAAUGGGGGAGCCACUUAGAAAUUGCCACACGCCCACACCCCAAACUCCACAGCUCUGGGACAGCAUGACACGGCCAGCCUCUGGCUCCCUGUGCCAUGAACACAGCAGAGCUGCCCCACGCGCAGGC